rnacentral:tRNA from 1 species
CGGAGCAUGGCUCAGUUUGGUAGAGCGCACGCUUCGGGAGCGUGAGGUCGUGGGUUCGAAUCCAGCUGCUCCGA